rnacentral:tRNA from 1 species
GCCUGGGUGGCUCAGUCAGUUGAGUGUCUGACUUCAGCUCAGGUCACGAUCUCAUGGUCCGUGAGUUCGAGCCCCGCGUCGGGCU